UACGAAGGGUGCAAGCGUUACUCGGAAUUACUGGGCGUAAAGCGUGCGUAGGUGGUUUGUUAAGUCUGAUGUGAAAGCCCUGGGCUCAACCUGGGAAUUGCAUUGGAUACUGGCAGGCUAGAGUGCGGUAGAGGAUGGCGGAAUUCCCGGUGUAGCAGUGAAAUGCGUAGAUAUCGAGAGGAACACCUGCGGCGAAGGCGGGUUGCUGGGCUGACACUGACGCUGAUUGUGCGAAAGCUAGGGGAGCGAACGGG
rnacentral:rRNA from 1 species